rnacentral:sRNA from 2 species
AAAAUACCCUGAAACCAUUCAACGGUGCUCUCGUUUCGCCUCAGAAUCUCAGGUUGCGUUGUAUGUCCAAAAGGAUGCUAUUGAGCUGGAACAGACGAACGGGACGGAGGAGGGUACCCCUUCCCCAACUAGAUAUGUGUAUAUCCUCACUCUCGAGUUAUCACUUUCCCCUACCACCGUUGCUUCGAUGGCCUUCACGAGGCAGCUUCAGCCAUUAGAUCCGAAUAUCCCAAUAUCCGCCCAAGUCCAUGCCACGAGUCUUCCGGGCUUCCUGUCACCGAUACAGAUGGCUUUGAAUCAAGGCACUACUACAGCUUCACCUCUUCAGACGCUUCAUACCUUUGUUAACCAUGUACUGGGACCGUAUUUUGAUGCCUAUACGAGUGGCCAGGAACGGGUGAACGGGGUGAAAGGGAGGGGCGAUAGCGAUGCGAAGACGGGAGUGCCUGUAACCAAAAAGAAGAUUGCGGAGUUGAAAUC